rnacentral:rRNA from 1 species
CCAGACUCCUACGGGAGGCAGCAGUGGGGAAUAUUGCACAAUGGGGGAAACCCUGAUGCAGCGACGCCGCGUGAGUGAAGAAGUAUCUCGGUACGUAAAGCUCUAUCAGCAGGGAAGAAAAUGACGGUACCUGACUAAGAAGCCCCGGCUAACUACGUGCCAGCAGCCGCGGUAAUACGUAGGGGGCAAGCGUUAUCCGGAUUUACUGGGUGUAAAGGGAGCGUAGACGGCAGCACAAGUCUGGAGUGAAAUCCCGGGGCUUAACCCCGGAACUGCUUUGGAAACUGUGCAGCUCGAGUGCAGGAGAGGUAAGCGGAAUUCCUAGUGUAGCGGUGAAAUGCGUAGAUAUUAGGAGGAACACCAGUGGCGAAGGCGGCUUGCUGGACGAUGACUGACGUUGAGGCUCGAAAGCGUGGGGAGCAAACAGGAUUAGAUACCCCAGUA